CUUACCUAUCAGAGGGGGAUAACCCGGCGAAAGUCGGACUAAUACCGCAUGAAGCAGGGGCCCCGCAUGGGGAUAUUUGCUAAAGAUUCAUCGCUGAUAGAUAGGCAUGCGUUCCAUUAGGCAGUUGGCGGGGUAACGGCCCACCAAGCCGACGAUGGAUAGGGGUUCUGAGAGGAAGGUCCCCCACAUUGGUACUGAGACACGGACCAAACUCCUACGGGAGGCAGCAGUGAGGAAUAUUGGUCAAUGGCCGAGAGGCUGAACCAGCCAAGUCGCGUGAGGGAUGAAGGUUCUAUGGAUCGUAAACCUCUUUUAUAAGGGAAUAAAGUGCGGGACGUGUCCCGUUUUGUAUGUACCUUAUGAAUAAGGAUCGGCUAACUCCGUGCCAGCAGCCGCGGUAAUACGGAGGAUCCGAGCGUUAUCCGGAUUUAUUGGGUUUAAAGGGUGCGUAGGCGGCCUUUUAAGUCAGCGGUGAAAGUCUGUGGCUCAACCAUAGAAUUGCCGUUGAAACUGGGGGGCUUGAGUAUGUUUGAGGCAGGCGGAAUGCGUGGUGUAGCGGUGAAAUGCAUAGAUAUCACGCAGAACCCCGAUUGCGAAGGCAGCCUGCCAAGCCAUGACUGACGCUGAUGCACGAAAGCGUGGGGAUCAAACAGGAUUAGAUACCCUGGUAGUCCACGCAGUAAACGAUGAUCACUAGCUGUUUGCGAUACACUGUAAGCGGCACAG
rnacentral:rRNA from 1 species